AUUUUAAUUGAGCAGCUUGAAGCAGCUAACCGCAGAAUCAGAGAUUUGGAAGUGCAGGUUUCACUGGAAAUGCAAGCUAAGGAUGAGCUGGAUCAUAAUUACAGGGUGGUAAGCAUCAAGCUCGAUAAAGUCAUGGAAAAAUUUGACAGUGAGACAAAUUUCAAAUUAAGGUUAUCUGCCAAAGAUGCUACCUUUGUAAAGGUAGAGCCACUGACCAAUAUAGAUGAUGACAGCAAUAAAUUUCCAGCUGCCAUCCCC